UACGUAGGUGACAAGCGUUGUCCGGAUUUAUUGGGCGUAAAGGGCGCGUGGGCGGCUCGGCACGUCCGUUGUGAAAUCGCCCGGCUCAACUGGGCGGGGUCGGCGGAUACGGCCGAGCUGGAGCAAGCUAGGGGGUAAUGGAAUUCCCGGUGUAGUGGUGGAAUGCGUAGAUAUCGGGAGGAACACCAGUGGCGAAGGCGGUUACCUGGAGCUUUGCUGACGCUGAUGCGCGAAAGCGUGGGGAGCGAUCCGG
rnacentral:rRNA from 1 species